AAACUGCUUGCUAAAUCUACUCAAUAUGGAUACAUUUUAUAUUAGCAUAACAUCCAAUAUUCAGAAAUGAUAAAACAAAAUUCAAACUAUAUAAGUGUCAUGAAGUCGCAAAAUUUUGAAACGUCAUUUUAGAUUUUCCGGUCAUUAUUUUAUGACUCCGGAUAUCUACCCCAACUAAACUAAUCGCCAUCUUGAACAUUGAGACACCAUCUUGGAUGUCCUGGUAUUCAUUUUUGGACCUAAAAUUACAUAAAAUAGUCGCCGUAUUGAAUUUUGGCAUGUCGUUUAUGAUUUUCUGGUUACCAGUUUUGGACGAAGACCGGCAUUCUUUCCUAUUCAAACUAUAGUCAUAUUGCAGACCUUGACCUUGUGAAACAGCGGACAGCUUGGGUUUUCUGAAUACAAAUUUUGAAUUCUGAACAUAUUUCCAUACAAAAUAUGCCCAUAAUGCAAGAAUUAAAAAUCCUAUAAAAUAGGCACUUAUUUGAAUACUGGGCCAUUAUCUUGGAUUUUGGACCGCUAUCUUGGAUACUCUGCUGGACUCCGAACACAUUUCCCAUGCCAAACACACUUAUUUUACAUAGUUUUGGAGCUCAAAAUUCAAAAACGUUGGUUCUUCUGCUACACAAAAGCUAGUCUCUAAUGUGAUCUAAGGCUAUUUCCUUGCUAACCGUUCAUUAGAUUAUCAAAAAAUCUGCGAUCUGAUGUGUCGUGGUUUUGGUUCAUUUUUAUAUUUGGUAAUAUCCGGUGGGAUAGCCGAAUCUGAUUCCAUGAGUCAUGGACCAUGACACUACCGGUUGUCAAUUAUGAUCUGAGAUUAUUUUAUUGCUUAUUUUUCACCUUUACCUAAUCACCGCGAUUUGAUAUAUCGCAUGUAUGAGUUUGAUUCACUUUUACUUUUAACCACUUUCGAAGCCACAGCUGAACCCGCAACACUACCAGGUCUGACCCUAUUUUUCCAUCAGGAUGUCGAUAAGUCGUGAUCAGUCUUGUUAGAGAUUACAGUCAUUUGAACCUUUUCGUCGAUAUUCGGCCUCCUUUGUCUCCGGUAUUCGCAACACAAUCAAUCACACUACUGUUCGAAACAAAAAUGUCAAACGAAUGCACUUCACCACGAUAGCGGCUUCGGAAGACGGUUCGGCUUUUGUUAUUCCUGUCUUCUUCCAUAACGAGAGCUAUGUUGCCCAUCUGUGUGCCGUAUUCAAUACAACAUGCAAGAAUAAACUCAUAUUUACAUUCAUAAUCGGAAUUGGCUGAGAAUCUAUACGUAAUGCUAGAAUUACACACGUGUCAUCGUGUCAGAUGACAUUGAUUUGACUCCUAGUUUGACUCUUUCUUAUGUUUAUUGAUCUUCGUUCUACUGCUCGUGUUGUGUGUAGGUAAGAGGUAACGGUAGCGCACGAAUGUAACAAAGCAAGCUGACACCCGACUGCGGCAACGAAAUGAAGGUAGUGAAAAGUGUCGAAUGUUUACAAGACUGGUCGUGAUUUGAUACACCGCAUCCAUGGGUUUGGUUAAAUUUUACAUUUUACUACCCGGAUCUGAUUCCGGGUAACUACCGGCUGAACCAAAUAUGGUCUGACAUUAUUGUCUUGUUAACUGCUCAUCGGUUAACCAAAAACGCUGCAAAUUGAAGGUGUCACAUGCAGAGUUUGACAAUUUCGACGGGACUCUCGGAACCCAUUCUGAAACACUACCAUUUGUCGUUAGUGUGACCUAAGGCUAUUUUCUAGCUAACUGUUUAUCAGGUUAUCGCAAAAGCCACGAUUUGAUGUGUCACAUGCCUGGAUUUGGUUUACUUUUACAUUUGGCCUCUCCCGGCCACUCAAAACCGAUUCCGAAACACUUGCUGGCCGUUCAUUAGGUAAUCUAAAAAGCCGCUAUUUGAUGUGACGCAUGUACGGGAUUGUUUCUCUUUCAGAUUUGACCACUUCGGCGGGAACCCCGGAACCGGUUCCGGAACACUACUGGUUCAAAUAUGGUCUGAGAUGAUUUUCCUGCUCAUUGUCCAUCAGGUCAUCGAAAAUGCCGUGGUUUGAUGUGUCGCAUGUAUGGGUUUGGUUCAAUUGUAUAUUUGGCCACCUCCAGCGGGACGCCUAGAACCGGUUCCGGAACACUACCGGUUCAGAUAUGAUCUGAGACUCUUUUCCUACUUACCGCUCAUCAGGUCAUCGAAAAUGCCGUGGUUUGAUGUGUCACAUGCAUGGGUUUGGUUCAAUUGUAUUUUUGGCCACUUCCAGUGGAACGCCUAGAACCGGUUCCGGAACAUUACCGGUUCAGAUAUGGUCUGGGAUGACUUUCCUGCUCAUUGUCCAUCAGGUCAUCGAAAAUGCCGUGGUUUGAUGUGUCGCAUGCAUGGGUUUGGUUCAAUUGCAUAUUUGGCCAUUUCCAGCGGGACGCCCAGAUCCGGUUCGGGAACACUACCGGUUCAGAUAUGGUCUGAGACUAUUUUCCUGCUUACCGCUCAUCAGGUUAUUGAAAAUGCCGUGGUUUGAUGUGUCGCAUGCAUAGGUUUGAUGCAUUUUCAUAUCUGGUCCCUUCCUGGGGUACCGUUCCGGAACACCUAAAUGGCCAUAUCUCCGGAACGGCUGGACCGAUUCGAACCAUUUUCAAUAGGAAACAAUGGGACCAGAUUCCGCGUCGAAUGAACCGUCGGUCAUUGAAAUCGGAUGA